rnacentral:rRNA from 1 species
CGCUUCUUUCCUCCCGAGUGCUUGCACUCAAUUGGAAAGAGGAGUGGCGGACGGGUGAGUAACACGUGGGUAACCUACCCAUCAGAGGGGGAUAACACUUGGAAACAGGUGCUAAUACCGCAUAACAGUUUAUGCCGCAUGGCAUAAGAGUGAAAGGCGCUUUCGGGUGUCGCUGAUGGAUGGACCCGCGGUGCAUUAGCUAGUUGGUGAGGUAACGGCUCACCAAGGCCACGAUGCAUAGCCGACCUGAGAGGGUGAUCGGCCACACUGGGACUGAGACACGGCCCAGACUCCUACGGGAGGCAGCAGUAGGGAAUCUUCGGCAAUGGACGAAAGUCUGACCGAGCAACGCCGCGUGAGUGAAGAAGGUUUUCGGAUCGUAAAACUCUGUUGUUAGAGAAGAACAAGGACGUUAGUAACUGAACGUCCCCUGACGGUAUCUAACCAGAAAGCCACGGCUAACUACGUGCCAGCAGCCGCGGUAAUACGUAGGUGGCAAGCGUUGUCCGGAUUUAUUGGGCGUAAAGCGAGCGCAGGCGGUUUCUUAAGUCUGAUGUGAAAGCCCCCGGCUCAACCGGGGAGGGUCAUUGGAAACUGGGAGACUUGAGUGCAGAAGAGGAGAGUGGAAUUCCAUGUGUAGCGGUGAAAUGCGUAGAUAUAUGGAGGAACACCAGUGGCGAAGGCGGCUCUCUGGUCUGUAACUGACGCUGAGGCUCGAAAGCGUGGGGAGCAAACAGGAUUAGAUACCCUGUUAGUCCACGCCGUAAACGAUGAGUGCUAAGUGUUGGAAGGGUUUCCGCCCUUCAG